rnacentral:rRNA from 1 species
UGGGGAAUAUUGCACAAUGGGCGCAAGCCUGAUGCAGCCAUGCCGCGUGUAUGAAGAAGGCCUUCGGGUUGUAAAGUACUUUCAGCGGGGAGGAAGGGAGUAAAGUUAAUACCUUUGCUCAUUGACGUUACCCGCAGAAGAAGCACCGGCUAACUCCGUGCCAGCAGCCGCGGUAAUACGGAGGGUGCAAGCGGUAAUCGGAAUUACUGGGCGUAAAGCGCACGCAGGCGGUUUGUUAAGUCAGAUGUGAAAUCCCCGGGCUCAACCUGGGAACUGCAUCUGAUACUGGCAAGCUUGAGUCUCGUAGAGGGGGGUAGAAUUCCAGGUGUAGCGGUGAAAUGCGUAGAGAUCUGGAGGAAUACCGGUGGCGAAGGCGGCCCCCUGGACGAAGACUGACGCUCAGGUGCGAAAGCGUGGGGAGCAAACA